UUCUUUAAGAGUUUGAUCCUGGCUCAGGAUUAACGUUGGUAGUACACACAUCCAAGCAAGUCGAACGGCAGCAUGAUUUUGGGUAACCAAAAGAGAUGGCGAGUGGCGAACGGGUGAGUAAUACUUAUCUACUUGCCAAUUAGUGGGGGAUUAAAUACCGCAUAUUCUAGUUUCGGCUAGGAAAGAGUUCCAUUUGGGCUCGCUAGUUGAGAGGGAUAAGGCGUAUCAGCCGAUGAAAGUGGGGUAAUGGCCUACUGAGGCAAUGACGCGUAGCCGGCCUGAGAGGGUGAUCGGCCACAAGGGAACUGAGACACGGUCCCUACUCCUACGGGAGGCAGAAGGAGGAAACAUCUCGCAAUGGACGCAAGUCUAACGGAGUGAUACUACGUGAAGGAUGAAGGUAACGAAAGUUAUUGUAAACUUCUUUACUAGAGGGUACUGCUUUUAGAGCUUGCCCUUUGGCAAAAAGCCACGACUAACUAUGCUGCCAGCAGUCGCGGUAAUACAUAGGUGGCGAACGUUAUCCGGAAUUACUGGGCGUAAAGGGUGCGUAGGUGGUUGAAUAAGUUACUGGUGGUAAAUCAGGGCUCAACCCUGUGGAAGUCAGUAAUACUAUCCAACUCGAGGGCUGGAGAGGUUAACGGAAUUCUAUGUGUAGCGGUAAAAUGCUCAAAUAUAUAGAGGAACACCAAUUGGCGAAAGCAGUUAACUAUUCAGUUCCUGACAUUGAGGCACGAAAGCGUGGGGAGCAAUACGGAUUAGACACCCGAGUAGUCCACGCCCUAAACGAUGAGUACUAGAUAUUGGAAACUCGAUUUUCAGUGUCGCAAGGUAACCCGGUAAGUACUCCGCCUGGGUAGUACGGUCACAAGACUAAAACUCAAAGGAAUUGACAGCGAUUCACACAAGCAGUGGAGCAUGUGGUUCAAUCCGAUACGACACGCAGAACCUUACCAAGAUUAUUAGUAGUGCGAAGCCGGAAGAGACUCUGGCAGAGGUUAUCAUUACUAUGAAGGUGUUGCAUGGCCAUCGUCAGUUCGUGUUGUGAAACGUAUGGUUAAGUCCUAUUAACGAACGAAACCCUCGUGCCUAGUUGCUAACAGGUAAUGCUGAGGACUCUAGGCAGACUGCCAAGGUAACUGGGAGGAAGGAGAGGAUCAAGCUAGGUCGUCAUGGCCCGGAACGUCUUGGGCGACACACGUGCUACAAUGGUUAGGACAAAGCGUUGCUAACCUGCGAGGGGGCGCUAAUCGCAAAAACCUAACCUCAAUUUGGAUUGGAGGUUGCAACUUACCUCCAUGAAACUGGAAUUGCUAGUAAUCGCGAAUCAGCCAUGUCGCGGUGAAUAUGUCCCUGAAUCUGGUACACACCGCCCGUCAAGUCACGAAAGUCGGUAAUAUCUGAAGUUGGCCUGAAAAGGUUAAUGAAGGUAGGAUUGAUGAUUGGGGCUAAGUCGUAACAAGGUAUCUGUAGGAGAACCUGCGGAUGGAAAAUAUUUUAU
rnacentral:rRNA from 1 species